rnacentral:rRNA from 1 species
AUUGAACGCUGGCGGCAUGCCUUACACAUGCAAGUCGAACGGCAGCACGGGAGCAAUCCUGGUGGCGAGUGGCGAACGGGUGAGUAAUAUAUCGGAACGUGCCCAGUCGUGGGGGAUAACGUACGGAAACAUAACCUAUUACCGCAUACGACCUAUGGGUGAAAGCGGGGGAUCGCAAGACCUCGCGCGAUUGGAGCGGCCGAGAUCAGAUUAGGUAGUUGGGGAGGUAAAGGCUAACCAAGCCGACGAUCUGUAGCUGGUCUGAGAGGACGACCAGCCACACUGGGACUGAGACACGGCCCAGACUCCUACGGGAGGCAGCAGUGGGGAAUUUUGGACAAUGGGCGCAAGCCUGAUCCAGCAAUGCCGCGUGCAGGAUGAAGGCCUUCGGGUUGUAAACUGCUUUUGUACGGAACGAAACGGCGAGCUCUAAUACAGUUUGCUAAUGACGGUACCGUAAGAAUAAGCACCGGCUAACUACGUGCCAGCCGCCGCGGUAA